GAAUGCUGACAUAAGUAACGAUAAAGCGGGUGAAAAGCCCGCUCGCCGGAAGACCAAGGGUUCCUGUCCAACGUUAAUCGGGGCAGGGUGAGUCGACCCCUAAGGCGAGGCCGAAAGGCGUAGUCGAUGGGAAACGGGUUAAUAUUCCCGUACUUGGUGUUACUGCGAAGGGGGGACGGAGAAGGCUAUGUUGGCCGGGCGACGGUUGUCCCGGUUUAAGCGUGUAGGUGUGUGUUCCAGGUAAAUCCGGUUCACUUUAACACUGAGGCGUGACGACGAGGCACUACGGUGCUGAAGCAACAAAUGCCCUGCUUCCAGGAAAAGCCUCUAAGCAUCAGGUAACAUCAAAUCGUACCCCAAACCGACACAGGUGGUCAGGUAGAGAAUACCAAGGCGCUUGAGAGAACUCGGGUGAAGGAACUAGGCAAAAUGGUGCCGUAACUUCGGGAGAAGGCACGCUGACACGUAGGUGAAGUGAUUUACUCAUGGAGCUGAAGUCAGUCGAAGAUACCAGCUGGCUGCAACUGUUUAUUAAAAACACAGCACUGUGCAAACACGAAAGUGGACGUAUACGGUGUGACGCCUGCCCGGUGCCGGAAGGUUAAUUGAUGGGGUCAGCGCAAGCGAAGCUCCUGAUCGAAGCCCCGGUAAACGGCGGCCGUAACUAUAACGGUCCUAAGGUAGCGAAAUUCCUUGUCGGGUAAGUUCCGACCUGCACGAAUGGCGUAAUGAUGGCCAGGCUGUCUCCACCCGAGACUCAGUGAAAUUGAACUCGCUGUGAAGAUGCAGUGUACCCGCGGCAAGACGGAAAGACCCCGUGAACCUUUACUAUAGCUUGACACUGAACAUUGAGCCUUGAUGUGUAGGAUAGGUGGGAGGCUUUGAAGUGUGGACGCCAGUCUGCAUGGAGCCGACCUUGAAAUACCACCCUUUAAUGUUUGAUGUUCUAACGUGGACCCGUUACCCGGGUUGCGGACAGUGUCUGGUGGGUAGUUUGACUGGGGCGGUCUCCUCCUAAAGAGUAACGGAGGAGCACGAAGGUUGGCUAAUCCUGGUCGGACAUCAGGAGGUUAGUGCAAUGGCAUAAGCCAGCUUGACUGCGAGCGUGACGGCGCGAGCAGGUGCGAAAGCAGGUCAUAGUGAUCCGGUGGUUCUGAAUGGAAGGGCCAUCGCUCAACGGAUAAAAGGUACUCCGGGGAUAACAGGCUGAUACCGCCCAAGAGUUCAUAUCGACGGCGGUGUUUGGCACCUCGAUGUCGGCUCAUCACAUCCUGGGGCUGAAGUAGGUCCCAAGGGUAUGGCUGUUCGCCAUUUAAAGUGGUACGCGAGCUGGGUUUAGAACGUCGUGAGACAGUUCGGUCCCUAUCUGCCGUGGGCGCUGGAGAACUGAGGGGGGCUGCUCCUAGUACGAGAGGACCGGAGUGGACGCAUCACUGGUGUUCGGGUUGUCAUGCCAAUGGCACUGCCCGGUAGCUAAAUGCGGAAGAGAUAAGUGCUGAAAGCAUCUAAGCACGAAACUUGCCCCGAGAUGAGUUCUCCCUGAGACUUUAGGUCU
rnacentral:rRNA from 1 species